GGUCAAGUGAAGAAGCGCAUACGGUGGAUGCCUUGGCAGUCAGAGGCGAUGAAAGACGUGGUAGCCUGCGAAAAGCUUCGGGGAGUCGGCAAACAGACUUUGAUCCGGAGAUCUCUGAAUGGGGGAACCCACCUAGGAUAACCUAGGUAUCUUGUACUGAAUCCAUAGGUGCAAGAGGCGAACCAGGGGAACUGAAACAUCUAAGUACCCUGAGGAAAAGAAAUCAACCGAGAUUCCCUUAGUAGUGGCGAGCGAACGGGGAUUAGCCCUUAAGCUUCAUUGAUUUUAGCGGAACGCUCUGGAAAGUGCGGCCAUAGUGGGUGAUAGCCCCGUACGCGAAAGGAUCUUUGAAGUGAAAUCGAGUAGGACGGAGCACGAGAAACUUUGUCUGAACAUGGGGGGACCAUCCUCCAAGGCUAAAUACUACUGACUGACCGAUAGUGAACCAGUACCGUGAGGGAAAGGCGAAAAGAACCCCGGAGAGGGGAGUGAAAUAGAACCUGAAACCGUAUGCGUACAAGCAGUGGGAGCCUACUUGUUAGGUGACUGCGUACCUUUUGUAUAAUGGGUCAGCGACUUAUAUUCAGUGGCAAGCUUAACCGUAUAGGGUAGGCGUAGCGAAAGCGAGUCUUAAUAGGGCGUUUAGUCGCUGGGUAUAGACCCGAAACCGGGCGAUCUAUCCAUGAGCAGGUUGAAGGUUAGGUAACACUGACUGGAGGACCGAACCCACUCCCGUUGAAAAGGUAGGGGAUGACUUGUGGAUCGGAGUGAAAGGCUAAUCAAGCUCGGAGAUAGCUGGUUCUCCUCGAAAGCUAUUUAGGUAGCGCCUCAUGUAUCACUCUGGGGGGUAGAGCACUGUUUCGGCUAGGGGGUCAUCCCGACUUACCAAACCGAUGCAAACUCCGAAUACCCAGAAGUGCCGAGCAUGGGAGACACACGGCGGGUGCUAACGUCCGUCGUGAAAAGGGAAACAACCCAGACCGCCAGCUAAGGUCCCAAAGUUGUGGUUAAGUGGUAAACGAUGUGGGAAGGCUUAGACAGCUAGGAGGUUGGCUUAGAAGCAGCCAUCCUUUAAAGAAAGCGUAAUAGCUCACUAGUCGAGUCGGCCUGCGCGGAAGAUGUAACGGGGCUCAAACCACACACCGAAGCUGCGGGUGUCACGUAAGUGACGCGGUAGAGGAGCGUUCUGUAAGCCUGUGAAGGUGAGUUGAGAAGCUUGCUGGAGGUAUCAGAAGUGCGAAUGCUGACAUGAGUAACGACAAUGGGUGUGAAAAACACCCACGCCGAAAGACCAAGGGUUCCUGCGCAACGUUAAUCGACGCAGGGUUAGUCGGUUCCUAAGGCGAGGCUGAAAAGCGUAGUCGAUGGGAAACAGGUUAAUAUUCCUGUACUUCUGGUUACUGCGAUGGAGGGACGGAGAAGGCUAGGCCAGCUUGGCGUUGGUUGUCCAAGUUUAAGGUGGUAGGCUGAAAUCUUAGGUAAAUCCGGGGUUUCAAGGCCGAGAGCUGAUGACGAGUCGUCUUUUAGAUGACGAAGUGGUUGAUGCCAUGCUUCCAAGAAAAGCUUCUAAGCUUCAGGUAACCAGGAACCGUACCCCAAACCGACACAGGUGGUCGGGUAGAGAAUACCAAGGCGCUUGAGAGAACUCGGGUGAAGGAACUAGGCAAAAUGGCACCGUAACUUCGGGAGAAGGUGCGCCGGCUAGGG
rnacentral:rRNA from 1 species